UACGUAGGGUGCAAGCGUUAAUCGGAAUUACUGGGCGUAAAGCGUGCGCAGGCGGUCCGCUAAGACAGAUGUGAAAUCCCCAGGCUCAACCUGGGAACUGCAUUUGAAACUCCCUUUCUUGAGUACCGGAGAGGAAAGUGGAAUUCCUGGUGUAGAGGUGAAAUUCGUAGAUAUCAGGAGGAACACCCGUGGCGAAGGCGGCACUCUGGGACGGUACUGACGCUGAGACGCGAAAGCGUGGGGAGCGAACAGG
rnacentral:rRNA from 1 species